CUUGCUGCUCGGCCUUUUGGCUAAGAUCAAAUGUAGUAUCUGUUUUGAUCAGGAGGGGUGUCAAAAACCUCUUCUGGUCAGGCAGAGAAACUUUUGAUCCUCUGACCAAAGGCCAGCAUUAUGAAAGCCUGA
rnacentral:snRNA from 1 species